GUCAAACAAAUUGAAAUGGAAGAAGUAAUAAAUAAAAUGAUAAUUUUAUUAUGUUCACCCCUAUUAAGUAUAAGUCAUCAAAACAUUGGCAAAUGAAUAGUACUAAGUAAUAGCUAUGGUAAAAUAAACUCAAAAUAGUAAAUUAUUUCUUGAUUUCCUUUUCUAAACUAGACAAAUAAAGUUCGACAACUAUUUUUAAUAUACUAGACAAGUGAUGAUAGACGGAGCAGUAUGCAUGGAUAUAUUCUUUAAUCUUGUGGUCUUAAACAUAUCACGUGAAAUUUUGUAUGAAAUAAGAUUGUAGAAAAAAUCAGAAUAUAAAUGAAUGUUAUAUGUGCCAUCAGAUGAUGUCGGAGAGUGCUAGGAAUCUAUUUUUGCACUGUAAAGUAGAAGUUGGCAUAUGAAGUAUGUUCUUAUCAGUCUUUGGAAUUGUCAAGGUCAUGCCAAAUACCAUUAAAGAAGCCUAUGAGAGCUGGUGUUUGUGGAGAGUUUGGAAACCCAUCAAAAAGGUGUAUGGUGUCUGUUGCUAUCUUUUGGUUCAUUUGGAAUGAAAGGAAUCGUAGAUGUUUUGAUGAGAUUUCAAUUCCUAACAACAUUCUUAAAUCCAACUCCUUAGUCUUUUUAUAUAGCUUGUUCAGCCAGGCCCCUGUAAUCACUGUUGAUCUUUUUUUGGAGGACUAUGUCUGUUUUUUAGUUAUUUAGUAAAUUCUUGUACAGGAGCAAAACCCCAUCUUUUGCUGUAAUUUUUUGCAUUGCAUCUUCUUGAUACCUUCUAAUGAAUUAUCCUUGCAUCAUAAAAAAAAA
rnacentral:lncRNA from 1 species